UUUAUUCAUUUUGGGAAUGAACGGAGUUUUCAGAACGCUGGUUUGUAAUUAUUAAUAAAGUUUGACUGACCUAUCUGACUAUUUUGUUGACAUUCCCUUUAUCGCAGCUCCAUCUAAAGGAUGGAUAACGUAACCCCAGCCUCUACUGUAGCGUCUAUUCUAGGCGCCUUAUAAUGCGCCUUUUAAUAUGAAAAAAGUUUUAAAACAGGCCAUUCAUUGAAGGUGCGCCUUAUAGUGCGGAAAAUACGGUAAUGAGGUUGACAACGUGCCGUGUAAGUGGUUGGUGAAUAAUGGUAUACUUGUUGGUACAAAACUGUAUUUUCAGUGAAGAGAAAUAAAUCUAAAGUUAAAGUAACUUGUUCAGCUAAAGAGCUGUUAUUGUUUUCUCUUUUUUGUUUUAGCAACAGUAAAUCUCCAUUUGGAGUUAUUUUUUGCUUAAUAGCCUCUUUUCUGUACGUUUAAAUACAAUAAAUGAGGCCUAAGGUGAUCAACUAAGGUUUUUAAGGGUAACAAUGAACUGAAAGUAAUUAGUUUUGAAAGCUGUACAAAAAAAUAUUCAAAAAUAAACUUUCUGGAUCAUCGGUCGAUGUGGACAGCUCUAUUAAAGGAGGAGCUUCGCUCAUAACUCAUAUCAUCCAGGGAUCUUCAAAGAGUCAUGGACUUUGAUGCUGUGGGCAGGAAGCAUCUCCAGUUGCAGUCAAUCUCGCAGAGAAUCUGACAAGGCCUCUGACUGAAGACUUGCCGUACGACAGUGGCAUGACUUGUGAUUUUUCUGAGACUUCAAGAAAAUGCGCGGUGGGAGGAAUGCUGCGAUGUGGCGAGGACAGCUGACUCCGCCUUGCAGCGGGAGGACAGCAGCUGGCUCAGACGGUGCAGGAUGUUGAUAAACUGCCGCUGCAGAUCAUCAGUGCGGUUCUUCGUGCAGCCUCUGAGAUGCUGGAUGUCUCAUCAGUGUCCGUCUUCCUGACUGCCAGUCAGUGUUUUACCUUCAGCAUGUGUUCAGAGACCUUCGCCUGUCUGGAGCAGGGAUCACAUGAGCUCAAUGUGCUGAUGAAACAUUUCUAAUUUUUUUUAAAAAUAAUGUGGCGGAUGUUCUUACAGAGUUGAAAUGCAUUAACAAUCUGUUGUUUUUAACUUCUCAGUAUGUUUAAAUAUGAUGAGCCGAAGCCGAUGGAGUUUACUGACCACACGAAGACGUCUAAGGAAAUUUAUGGAGCUUUAUUAGAGUUUAACAGUGAAGAGUAAAUUUAGGUUUAUCUCAGAAAUUUUCUAGAAAGAUCUUCAGAAGUCGCACAUUUUCGACUUUUGGAAAUUUUCUGAGCUUGAAAAGUCAAAAAUGUUCUAGAAAUUUCUAAGAUUAAUCUAAACAUUUCUGAGGGGUUUUUUUUUUCUUGCAAAGUUUUGGCUGGUCGAGCUCAGAAAUGUCCCUGUUUUUUCUAGAAAGUUUUGGGAGUUUUUCUGGCGGAAAUCUACUCUUCAAUGUUCUACCUACAAUUGUUGGUCAUACAGGAAUAAUGGAUGUUUUUUAUUUUAUUAUUAUUAUUAUUAUUUUUAAAACACAGCGUUCCUUCCUUAAGUUAACAGUACAGAGGAUAUGACCUCACAUGUCGUGGUCAACUAAUGUUGAUAAUCUGCAUCAUCAAACCUGGAGGCACGCUCAGGGAAACCAAAAAACCAAAAAGUAAGAAAGAUGAUAUUUUGUGAAGCUUGUGGAUUCAAGAGAAAAUUUGCAAUAAAAUGAAAGGGAAACAAGAAAGCACAUAUAACCCAAGAGUGGUUAUUAAAACUAUUUAAUCUAAAAUCAAGUUUUCACGCGUUCCAAGAGCCUCCCUGUGGAAAAUGACAGCAGUUCUACAAGCUAGUAUCAAUGGAAACGAAGAGUUUUACAACAUAAUGUUAAACUAUCAGCGGCAUAUUUUAAUGACUGCAGGACAUCAUAACCCUGGGUGGGACUAAUAGCAGGAGAUAAACAUGGCUUCCCAAUGUGGAGCAAAGGUUCGUGGAUAAAGGAAAAACAAAGAAUCACCAGGCCAUUGAUGGAAAAGGUGAACGGCAAAGCGUAAAAA